GAGAUGAGGAAAUGAAACCUCCCAAGACAGGUUGUCCCAGACACCUGCGGAGGCUGUCAGCAGCUGCUCGGCUUGGGGGAGCCGCAAGACCAGGGGCUUCAAAUCCCAGCUCUGAGCGCUGUGGACAAGUUACUUCCGCUCUGAAGCCUCAGUCACCUAACCUCUAGAAAGGGCUCAAGUGCAAGGGACGCAGUCAACCCGCAGAGGCUCCAGCAGGAUCGGACCUUGUCAUCCUGGCAACCGAGGCUGUGACAGAGUGAGUCCAAGAUGUAGAAAUCGAGGCCCCGAAAAGUCCAAGUUAACUGGAAUUGGAACCUGCUUGUCCAGCUGUGGGGCCUGAGGGCCUACCUUCCACGCCCACAGCUCCCAAAAGCCCCUAGCAGCUGGAUGAUGGAUUUUGGUGGGGGAGGGGUCUGGCUGAACCUUCUUGAAGGGAUGAGACGGAACCCGAGGCCCUGAGAGGGACACAGCCCAUGAGACUGAGGCAGCAGGGUCCUGCUUACAGACCAGUCUGGAUGGGACCAGUAUUCAAAGUUCAAAUGAAAAGGAUGGGGUUUCUGGACCAAGGACUUGGGAGGAAAAAGGGGAAUGACUCCAGAUCCUUCUGCUGAGCCCUGACCAUGAGCCAAGGAUGGAGCUAGAAGCCUCUACAGAUCGUCCAUUGAAUCCUUACAACAGACCUGUGAGGUGAAUCCUGGUGUGUCCCAUUUCACAGAUGAAACUGAGGCUGAAGAGGAACAGAGACCCAGUGUACCCAUGAAGCUGACCCCAGAGCACUCCCUGACACCACACUCAACUGCCUAAAACCCUCGCUGGCUCCACAGUCCUCAGGAGAGGGCUCCCUGCUCCUCACCUGACCCUCAAGGCCCUCCCUAGCAGGACCCUCCCCCAGAACGGGGUCUCUGGGGACACGAGGAUCACCAGAUCCUUCAAGGCAAAGCCAUGUAGGGUAAGAGCUGGGAGGAAACCCCAAGGGCUUCCCGCAGUUGGAGAGGGUACUGGGGUGCAAUCAGAGAGCACAGCCCUGAAGGCGGGAAGGCCAGGGAGUUAGGAAACAGGAGGGAGAUUCUGGUGGCCACAGCUUGGGAGGGAGCUGGAAAGAGCUUCAAUUAUCACAAUUUGGUUUUUCCUCAAGACAGUGGAGGGAAAUACAUGUAGACUCCACUUCAGAAUGAUCUAGUGUGCUGUGAGGGGGACAGAUGGAGAGGCCAGACUGGGGAGGCCAGGACUCAGGAUCCAUCAGCAGAGGACUGGAAAGGAGGGUCAGAUUGAAGGGUCACAGAGGAGGUAGGAAAGACAGCUUUGCUGGGGGCUGGUUGUUGAGUAGAGUUGGAGGAAGAAUUGAGAGGAUCCUGGAGCCAGGAAGGUAUGAGAAAGAUGCUGGGGGUUGGUGUAGAGGAAGGGGGCACAGGGUCAGAGAAGAGAUGGGUGAAUGGUGGGCUUGGUGCCUGGCAUAAGGACCACAGGCCUCAAACACAC